GACGAACGCUGGCGGCGUGCCUAAUACAUGCAAGUUGAGCGAUGAAGCUUUGUGCUUGCGCCGUUUUGAAGAGCAGCGAACGGGUGUGUAACGCGUGUGGAAUCUGCCUGUGAGCGGGGUACAACAUUUGGAAACGAAUGCUAAUACGGCAUAACAACUUGAAACAUAAGUGGUAAGUGUGAAAUAUGCAAUUUCAUCACGCAAUCAUGAUCCCGCGGCGUAUUAGCUUGUUGGUGAGGUAAAGGCUCACUAAGGCGAGGAUACAUAGCCAAACUGAGAGGGCGGUCGGCCGCCUUGGGAGUGAGACCCGGCACAAACUCCUACGGGAGGCAGCAGUAGGGAAUCUUGGGCCAUCAGCGAGAGACUGACCGCGCAACGCCGCGUGAGUGAAGAAGGUUUUCGGAUCGUAAAACUCUGUUGGUAGGGAAGAACGUUGGUGAGAGUGGAACGCUCAUCAAGUGACGGUAACUACUCAGAAAGCGACGGCUAACUACGUG
rnacentral:rRNA from 1 species